UACGUAGGGUGCGAGCGUUGUCCGGAAUUACUGGGCGUAAAGAGCUCGUAGGUGGUUUGUCGCGUUGUCCGUGAAAACUCACAACUCAAUUGUGGGCGUGCGGGCGAUACGGGCAGACUUGAGUACUGCAGGGGAGACUGGAAUUCCUGGUGUAGCGGUGGAAUGCGCAGAUAUCAGGAGGAACACCGGUGGCGAAGGCGGGUCUCUGGGCGGUAACUGACGCUGAGGAGCGAAAGCGUGGGGAGCGAACAGG
rnacentral:rRNA from 1 species